GUGUUUGCUUCGGCAGCACAUAUACUAAAAUUGGAACGAUACAGAGAAGAUUAGCAUGUUCCCUCCGUUUCUCAAUAGCAUGUUGAAGGAGAGAGAUUUCUUU
ensembl:snRNA U6 U6 spliceosomal RNA